CAGUUAGAUUUAAAUGAGGCCAUGGGAAACUGCUGUAGCCUUGGAAAAACAUACUCCAGGCUGGCUCAAAGUGGGACAUCAGGCUGCUUCAUAACGCUGAAUGGAGAAAAUGAACUCCUUGGUAAUUAACUUGUGUUGUCUUUUGCUGUAGGAAUCUUUUGAAGCCAGCAAAAGUUUGGACUGUGCCAUUGGCCAUUACUCUAGAUGUGCUUUAUUUCAAGACAUGAUCAUCCAGAAGCUGUGGAUGGUAGGAGUGACAACCAGGUUACUGAAGAUUGAGCUGAGCCAACAACUACCCUGUCAACACUCUGUCUUUGUGCAACAAAGAUUGGCUAGAUGUGACAAUGGUGCAAUGCCCCUCUUGGCUUUUUCAUCUUGAACUCUGAUGCCUGCUCUGUUUAGUUGGACCAGCAUCAAAAACAGGACACUCACCAUCUCAGAACUGAUGUCAGAUAAGAAGAAACACCACUCAUGAACCCAGCUACUACAGAUUUCUUUUUGAGACAAACACUUGAAGAGUUUUCAUCUAGCAAGUGACCCCAGAAUAGGAACAAGUCAGUAGCAUCUAUCACCUGUGCAGGAUCCAUGGCUGGAGUGCCUGAUUGCAAGAGCUGAAACUGAAGGUACGCUGUGGGAUCAGUGUGACUAAAACAGCGGUGGUAUCUUAACAGUUCAGUGUUGUUGUUCUAAACAAGCAUCUUAAAUAAACAAUGUGAUGCACUCCAUGUUGCAUAGGGAGCAGAACCCCUCUUACCCUUCAAGAUGACUCUAAAGGUUCAAUAUGUGCAAUAUGUGUACAAGCACAUUUUUGCGUGGGUGUGAAAGGUUUAUUCAUUCUAUGACUGAUCAACAGUUUUCUAUAGAGAAUAAACUGGCAAUGUUA